rnacentral:rRNA from 1 species
UUUCAUGGAUGGCGGCGGCUACCAUGCAGUCGAGCGGAUGAAGGGAGCUUGCUCCUGAAUUCAGCGGCGGACGGGUGAGUAAUGCCUAGGAAUCUGCCUGGUAGUGGGGGACAACGUUUCGAAAGGAACGCUAAUACCGCAUACGUCCUACGGGAGAAAGCAGGGGACCUUCGGGCCUUGCGCUAUCAGAUGAGCCUAGGUCGGAUUAGCUAGUUGGUGAGGUAAUGGCUCACCAAGGCGACGAUCCGUAACUGGUCUGAGAGGAUGAUCAGUCACACUGGAACUGAGACACGGUCCAGACUCCUACGGGAGGCAGCAGUGGGGAAUAUUGGACAAUGGGCGAAAGCCUGAUCCAGCCAUGCCGCGUGUGUGAAGAAGGUCUUCGGAUUGUAAAGCACUUUAAGUUGGGAGGAAGGGUUGUAGAUUAAUACUCUGCAAUUUUGACGUUACCGACAGAAUAAGCACCGGCUAACUCUGUGCCAGCAGCCGCGGUAAUACAGAGGGUGCAAGCGUUAAUCGGAAUUACUGGGCGUAAAGCGCGCGUAGGUGGUUCGUUAAGUUGGAUGUGAAAUCCCCGGGCUCAACCUGGGAACUGCAUCCAAAACUGGCGAGCUAGAGUAUGGUAGAGGGUGGUGGAAUUUCCUGUGUAGCGGUGAAAUGCGUAGAUAUAGGAAGGAACACCAGUGGCGAAGGCGACCACCUGGACUGAUACUGACACUGAGGUGCGAAAGCGUGGGGAGCAAACAGGAUUAGAUACCCUGGUAGUCCACGCCGUAAACGAUGUCAACUAGCCGUUGGGAGCCUUGAGCUCUUAGUGGCGCAGCUAACGCAUUAAGUUGACCGCCUGGGGAGUACGGCCGCAAGGUUAAAACUCAAAUGAAUUGACGGGGGCCCGCACAAGCGGUGCAGCAUGUGGAUUUAAUUCGAAGCAACGCGAAGAACCUUACCAGGCCUUGACAUCCAAUGAACUUUCC